rnacentral:rRNA from 1 species
CCUACGGGAGGCAGCAGUGAGGAAUAUUGGUCAAUGGACGAGCGUCUGAACCAGCCAAGUAGCGUGAAGGAUGACUGCCCUAUGGGUUGUAACCUUCUUUUAUAUGGGAAUACAAUGUUCACCGUGGGGGAUUCUGUAUGUACCAUAUGCAUAAGAAUCGGCUAACUCCGGGCCUGCAGCCGCGGUAAUACGGAGUAUCCGAGCGUUAUCCGGAUUUAUUGUGGUUAUAGGGAGCUUAGGUGGAUUGUUAAGUCAGUUGUGAAAGUUCGCGGCUCAACCGUAAAAUUGCAGUUGAAACUGGCAGUCUUGAGGACAGUAGAGGUGGGCGGAAUUCGUGGUGUAGCGGUGAAAUGCUUAGAUAGCACGAAGAACUCCGAUUGCGAAGGCAGCUCACUGGACUGCAACUGACACUGAGGCUCGAAAGUGUGGGUAUCAAACAGGAUUAGAUACCCGGGUAGUC